rnacentral:rRNA from 1 species
AGGGUUUGAUCAUGGCUCAGGAUGAACGCUGGCGGCGUGCUUAACACAUGCAAGUCGAACGAACCUUCGGGUUAGUGGCGGACGGGUGAGUAACGCGUGAGAAUCUGCCCUCAGGAGGGGGAUAACGGUUGGAAACGACCGCUAAUACCCCAUAUGCCUAAUGGUGAAACGAAUUUCGCCUGAGGAUGAGCUCGCGUCUGAUUAGCUAGUUGGUGAGGUAAUGGCUCACCAAGGCUUCGAUCAGUAGCUGGUCUGAGAGGAUGAUCAGCCACACUGGGACUGAGACACGGCCCAGACUCCUACGGGAGGCAGCAGUGGGGAAUUUUCCGCAAUGGGCGAAAGCCUGACGGAGCAACGCCGCGUGAGGGACGAAGGCCUCUGGGCUGUAAACCUCUUUUCUCAAGGAAGAAGAUAUGACGGUACUUGAGGAAUAAGCCACGGCUAAUUCCGUGCCAGCAGCCGCGGUAAUACGGGAGUGGCAAGCGUUAUCCGGAAUUAUUGGGCGUAAAGCGUCCGCAGGCGGCUUUUCAAGUCUGCUGUUAAAGCGUGGAGCUUAACUCCAUCAUGGCAGUGGAAACUGAAAGGCUUGAGUAUGGUAGGGGCAGAGGGAAUUCCCGGUGUAGCGGUGAAAUGCGUAGAUAUCGGGAAGAACACCAGUGGCGAAGGCGCUCUGCUGGGCCAUUACUGACGCUCAUGGACGAAAGCCAGGGGAGCGAAAGGGAUUAGAUACCCCUGUAGUCCUGGCCGUAAACGAUGAACACUAGGUGUCGGGGGAAUCGACCCCUUCGGUGUCGUAGCUAACGCGUUAAGUGUUCCGCCUGGGGAGUACGCACGCAAGUGUGAAAC